AUUACCACCAGAGAAGUCAAAAUGGCCUUGAUUAUACAGAAAGGAGGAGCUUCUCGGGUCAUUGCGAUUCCCAGUUUGAGGAUUUAAUGGAGCAGUGAGGUCUUGUAGCCCAGUUUGAGGAUUAAAUGGAGAAGUGAGGUCAUGUAGCCCAGUUUGAGGAUUAAAUGGAGCAGUGAGGUCUUGUAGCCCAGUUUGAGGAUUAAAUGGAGCAGUGAGGUCUUGUAGCCCAGUUUGAUGAUUAAAUGGAGCAGUGUGGUCUUGUAGCCCAGUUUGAGGAUUAAAUGGAGCAGUGUGGUCUUGUAGCCCAGUUUGAUGAUUAAAUGGAGCAGUGAGGUCUUGUAGCCCAGUUUGAGGAUUAAAUGGAGCAGUGAGGUCUUGUAGCCCAGUUUGGGGAUUUAAUGGAGCAGUGAGGUCUUGUAGCUCUAGGUAUAACUCCGAGUUUUCAACUAGGUCGUAAGAGGCCGUCCUUGGCAUGCUGCUCAACUCUGGUAGUCCGUUGAAAAUGCCUUCUUCUUCUAAGCAAACUGGAGCUGAGACACCGGGAUCAUAUCUUACCUGUAGAUUGAUUAAAUAUGAGAAUGUAUUUUGCAGAUACAAAAGAGCACAUAUUGAUGUUGGAGAACAAGCAGAUACAAAAGAGCACAUAUUGAUGUUGGAUACUAAGAUCGAAGAUAUAGCAAAGAAGCUUUGUCUAAUGGGUAACUACUACGUUCCAAUGCCACUAAAACACUUAACAGCUUUAAAGUAGCCUUGCUAGCUUAAGAACAUGCAGUGACACCGGCUUGUUAUCACUA
rnacentral:lncRNA from 1 species